rnacentral:rRNA from 1 species
UACGAGAGGCCCAAACGUUAUUCGGAAUUACUGGGCUUAAAGAGUUCGUAGGCGGCAUUGCAAGUAGGGUGUGAAAGCCCUCGGCUCAACCGAGGAAUUGCGCUCUAAACUGCAGUGCUCGAGGAAGCUAGAGGUGAGCAGAACAGAUGGUGGAGCGGUGAAAUGCGUUGAUAUCAUCUGGAAUACCGGAGGCGAAGGCGGCUCACU